rnacentral:rRNA from 1 species
UACGUAGGUGGCAAGCGUUGUCCGGAAUUAUUGGGCGUAAAGAGCUUGUAGGCGGUUUGUCGCGUCUGCCGUGAAAAUUCGAGGCUCAACCUCGAACUUGCGGUGGGUACGGGCAGACUAGAGUGUGGUAGGGGAGACUGGAAUUCCUGGUGUAGCGGUGGAAUGCGCAGAUAUCAGGAGGAACACCGAUGGCGAAGGCAGGUCUCUGGGCCACUACUGACGCUGAGAAGCGAAAGCAUGGGGAGCGAACAGG